GAUGAACGCUGGCGGCGUGCCUAAUACAUGCAAGUCGAGCGAACGGACGAGAAGCUUGCUUCUCUGAUGUUAGCGGCGGACGGGUGAGUAACACGUGGAUAACCUACCUAUAAGACUGGGAUAACUUCGGGAAACCGGAGCUAAUACCGGAUAAUAUUUUGAACCGCAUGGUUCAAAAGUGAAAGACGGUCUUGCUGUCACUUAUAGAUGGAUCCGCGCUGCAUUAGCUAGUUGGUAAGGUAACGGCUUACCAAGGCAACGAUGCAUAGCCGACCUGAGAGGGUGAUCGGCCACACUGGAACUGAGACACGGUCCAGACUCCUACGGGAGGCAGCAGUAGGGAAUCUUCCGCAAUGGGCGAAAGCCUGACGGAGCAACGCCGCGUGAGUGAUGAAGGUCUUCGGAUCGUAAAACUCUGUUAUUAGGGAAGAACAUAUGUGUAAGUAACUGUGCACAUCUUGACGGUACCUAAUCAGAAAGCCACGGCUAACUACGUGCCAGCAGCCGCGGUAAUACGUAGGUGGCAAGCGUUAUCCGGAAUUAUUGGGCGUAAAGCGCGCGUAGGCGGUUUUUUAAGUCUGAUGUGAAAGCCCACGGCUCAACCGUGGAGGGUCAUUGGAAACUGGAAAACUUGAGUGCAGAAGAGGAAAGUGGAAUUCCAUGUGUAGCGGUGAAAUGCGCAGAGAUAUGGAGGAACACCAGUGGCGAAGGCGACUUUCUGGUCUGUAACUGACGCUGAUGUGCGAAAGCGUGGGGAUCAAACAGGAUUAGAUACCCUGGUAGUCCACGCCGUAAACGAUGAGUGCUAAGUGUUAGGGGGUUUCCGCCCCUUAGUGCUGCAGCUAACGCAUUAAGCACUCCGCCUGGGGAGUACGACCGCAAGGUUGAAACUCAAAGGAAUUGACGGGGACCCGCACAAGCGGUGGAGCAUGUGGUUUAAUUCGAAGCAACGCGAAGAACCUUACCAAAUCUUGACAUCCUUUGACAACUCUAGAGAUAGAGCCUUCCCCUUCGGGGGACAAAGUGACAGGUGGUGCAUGGUUGUUGUCAGCUCGUGUCGUGAGAUGUUGGGUUAAGUCCCGCAACGAGCGCAACCCUUAAGCUUAGUUGCCAUCAUUAAGUUGGGCACUCUAAGUUGACUGCCGGUGACAAACCGGAGGAAGGUGGGGAUGACGUCAAAUCAUCAUGCCCCUUAUGAUCUGGGCUACACACGUGCUACAAUGGACAAUACAAAGGGCAGCGAAACCGCGAGGUCAAGCAAAUCCCAUAAAGUUGUUCUCAGUUCGGAUUGUAGUCUGCAACUCGACUACAUGAAGCUGGAAUCGCUAGUAAUCGUAGAUCAGCAUGCUACGGUGAAUACGUUCCCGGGUCU
rnacentral:rRNA from 1 species